GGAGCGGUGGCUGAGUGGUCGAAAGCGCGGGUUUGCUAAAUCCGUGAUCUCGUAAGGGAUCCGCAGGUUCGAAUCCUGUCCGCUCCG
rnacentral:tRNA from 1 species